GAUGAACGCUGGCGGCGUGCCUAAUACAUGCAAGUCGAGCGAAUGGAUUAAGAGCUUGCUCUUAUGAAGUUAGCGGCGGACGGGUGAGUAACACGUGGGUAACCUGCCCAUAAGACUGGGAUAACUCCGGGAAACCGGGGCUAAUACCGGAUAACAUUUUGAACAGCAUGGUUCGAAAUUGAAAGGCGGCUUCGGCUGUCACUUAUGGAUGGACCCGCGUCGCAUUAGCUAGUUGGUGAGGUAACGGCUCACCAAGGCAACGAUGCGUAGCCGACAUGGGAGGGGUAUCGGCCACAAGGGGACUGCGACACGGCCCAGACUGCUACGGGAGGCAGCAGUAAGGAAUCUUCCGCAAUGGACGAAAGUCUGACGGAGCAACGCCGCGUGAGUGAUGAAGGCUUUCGGGUCGUAAAACUCUGUUGUUAGGGAAGAACAAGUGCUAGUUGAAUAAGCUGGCACCUUGACGGUACCUAACCAGAAAGCCACGGCUAACUACGUGCCAGCCGCCGCAGUAA
rnacentral:rRNA from 1 species